rnacentral:lncRNA from 1 species
CAUUCCUUAACUAUAAGGAGACAAUGCACUUAUGACUCUUAACUCUAAGGUUGUUAUGUCAUAAUGUCAACUCUCACAUACACUUGCAGUUUCUACAUUCCUUUAGUGUCAUUUACACUACUUGUUCUUGGUUCUCAACUUUAGCAUUCAAUGCCCAUAAAUGUCACUCUUGUUCACUAAAUGUCAAUCACACUAACUCUAGUGUCAAGAUCUCAUUAAUGCCACACACUAACUCUAGUGUUAUCUUUGCAUUUACUAAUGCCACUCGAUCUAUAUGUUAUCGUGUCACUUUGUUCUUUGUCUCAACUAGGUUUUCAUAUCUCAUCUCAUGCAUACAUAGGGUUUUUAGGUUCUCAACCGUCUCAUAAUGCACUUGUACUCACAACAUGCAA